rnacentral:rRNA from 1 species
AGUGAACGCUGGCGGUAGGCCUAACACAUGCAAGUCGAACGGCAGCACAGUAAGAGCUUGCUCUUACGGGUGGCGAGUGGCGGACGGGUGAGGAAUACAUCGGAAUCUACUUUUUCGUGGGGGGUAACGUAGGGAAACUUACGCUAAUACCGCAUACGACCUACGGGUGAAAGCAGGGGAUCUUCGGACCUUGCGCGAUUGAAUGAGCCGAUGUCGGAUUAGCUAGUUGGCGGGGUAAAGGCCCACCAAGGCGACGAUCCGUAGCUGGCCUGAGAGGAUGAUCAGCCACACUGGAACUGAGACACGGUCCAGACUCCUACGGGAGGCAGCAGUGGGGAAUAUUGGACAAUGGGCGCAAGCCUGAUCCAGCCAUACCGCGUGGGUGAAGAAGGCCUUCGGGUUGUAAAGCCCUUUUGUUGGGAAAGAAAAGCAGCAGGUUAAUACCCCGCUGUUCUGACGGUACCCAAAGAAUAAGCACCGGCUAACUUCGUG